GACGAACGCUGGCGGCGUGCCUAAUACAUGCAAGUAGAACGCUGAAGGAAGGAGCUUGCUCUUUCCGGAUGAGUUGCGAACGGGUGAGUAACGCGUAGGUAACCUGCCUGGUAGCGGGGGAUAACUAUUGGAAACGAUAGCUAAUACCGCAUAACAGUAGAUAUCGCAUGAUAGCUGCUUGAAAGGUGCAAUUGCACCACUACCAGAUGGACCUGCGUUGUAUUAGCUAGUUGGUGAGGUAACGGCUCACCAAGGCAACGAUACAUAGCCGACCUGAGAGGGUGAUCGGCCACACUGGGACUGAGACACGGCCCAGACUCCUACGGGAGGCAGCAGUAGGGAAUCUUCGGCAAUGGACGGAAGUCUGACCGAGCAACGCCGCGUGAGUGAAGAAGGUUUUCGGAUCGUAAAGCUCUGUUGUAAGAGAAGAACGAGUGUGAGAGUGGAAAGUUCACACUGUGACG
rnacentral:rRNA from 1 species